rnacentral:rRNA from 1 species
GACAGAGGGUGCAAACGUUGCUCGGAAUCACUGGGCGUAAAGCGCACGUAGGCGGAUUGUUAAGUCGGGGGUGAAAUCCUGGAGCUCAACUCCAGAACUGCCUUCGAUACUGGCGAUCUUGAGUCCGGGAGAGGUGAGUGGAACUGCGAGUGUAGAGGUGAAAUUCGUAGAUAUUCGCAAGAACACCAGUGGCGAAGGCGGCUCACUGGCCCGGUACUGACGCUGAGGUGCGAAAGCGUGGGGAGCAAACAGG